AUUGAACGCUGGCGGCAGGCCUAACACAUGCAAGUCGAGCGGAUGAAGGGAGCUUGCUCCUGGAUUCAGCGGCGGACGGGUGAGUAAUGCCUAGGAAUCUGCCUGGUCGUGGGGGAUAACGUCCGGAAACGGGCGCUAAUACCGCAUACGUCCUGAGGGAGAAAGUGGGGGAGCUUCGGACCUCACGCUAUCAGAUGAGCCUAGGUCGGAUUAGCUAGUUGGUGGGGUAAAGGCUUACCAAGGCGACGAUCCGUAACUGGUCUGAGAGGAUGAUCAGUCACACUGGAACUGAGACACGGUCCAGACUCCUACGGGAGGCAGCAGUGGGGAAUAUUGGACAAUGGAGGAAAGCCUGAUCCAGCCAUGCCGCGUGUGUGAAGAAGGUCUUCGGAUUGUAAAGCACUUUAAGUUGGGAGGAAGGGCAGUAAGUUUAUACCUUGCUGUUUUGACGUUACCAACAGAAUAAGCACCGGCUAACUUCGUG
rnacentral:rRNA from 1 species